UUCUUUUCUGUUUUCCUUUGCUGUUUUUUUUGCUGUAGUUUGGGGAGGAUAUCUUUAACUUCCAGCUUUCCGGUUUGUUUUCAUUUAUGUUAUAUUUUUAAUUUCUAACACCUCAUUUUGUUCUCCAAAUGUUUCCUUUUAUAUGUUUUCUUUUCUUUUUUUUAACCUUCCUUCCUUCCUCACUCUCUUUUUUCCUUCCUUCGUUCCUUUCUUUCUUUUCUUUUCUUUCUUUUCUUUUCAAAAGUAAUCUCUGUGCCUGACAUCAGGCUCAAACUCAUGACCUUGAGAUCAAGAGUCGCAUGCUCUAUGGACAGAGCCAGCCAGGUGCCCCUAGCAUGUUUUCUUAUUCCACGGAUAUCAUAUUUCUCUUUGGAUAAAUGACUUACAAAUUGUUUCCCUCUCUUUGUACAGCAAAGUUCUCCAAGUUGCUUUUGUCCAUUUGUUUUGAUCUCUCUCUUUUUUUUUUUCCAGCUCCUUUGCUGGAAUCCACACUCCCAGCGUGAUGGGGGACUUGGUCCUAGUGAGGGGUCUGGAGAGCCCCCAGGAAGCAGCCCAGGGUUGGGACUAGGGCUCGAGGCCCACCACCGAAGGAGAGGAGAACCCCUUGGGGUGCUGAGGGCAGUGCGCCUCCUUCCCUCACCCUCUUUCUUCCUCCAGGCUGGCCAAGAGCAGAGUGGGGGUGAGCAGGGCCCCUAGCCUCUGCUGAGUCCCAGGGUCCUCGGGGUGGGUGGAGGAAGGGUGGAGAGAGGGUCUGGGCCACCAACAGACACUGUAAACUUUGGUUUAAAACAAUAACUUAAGUGGAGGGAGGGCUUCCAGCCUGGGGCCAGGGUCGGAAGGAGGAGCAGGGGUGUGGGAGGCGACAAAGGAAAAAGCCAACAGAAAGUUUUGGUUUUUGCUUCCGGCAUAAGAAAGGUCUUUGGUCAUUGGUUUAACUGGGGGAGGUGGGGGAGUGGAGAGGGGUCAGGGAGGGGUGCUAAGGGUGAGGCAGGACUGUAAGGGGGGACCUGUAGGCUGGGGCGAACCUGUCGGGGUCACAGCAGCCACCUGCCCCUCAGGCCUGAUUUCAGCCUGGCCUUUCCUGUGACAGAGGCAGGACGCUUCCUGGUGGCACGGGCAUGACCCCAGCUCCAGCCUCAAGGGCAGCUCGGCUCCCUUCAGCGGCUCCCCCUCCUUUAGUCCACCUGGCACAGACCUCUGUGAGAAGGCAGGCACUGGGCCUCUUCCUCUGCUCCCGGGGGGUGGGAGCAGCUGAGAGCACCCAGUGAGGGGGGCAGAGGCCCAGUUCAGCCUGGGUUCUGUCUCGGGUCAAGGGCAGGGGCUGGAGCCAGGCAGCCUGGCUCCCACCGACCCCCACGGAGCAUACAACUUGUCCCGCCCCAGCUGUGGCUUUUGAGUGGGCACAGCUGAGGGGGCCUGGUUUCUUCUGGGGAUGGUCUGAAACUUCAGCUCCCCCGCCCUAGGCGGGGGCAGGGGCGCGAGUUGGGGGCAGCGGGGAGAUUUCUUCACAGUACGGAAAAGAAGGUGGAAGGGAGCACAAAUUAGGAAAAUGGGGGGCCUCUGGCCAGAAAACACUGCCAGAGCCAGGUGGGAGGGGCCCUGGGUUUGAGAGGGGUGGCUU
ensembl:lncRNA